rnacentral:rRNA from 1 species
AUUGAACGCUGGCGGCAUGCUUAACGCAUGCAAGUCGAACGGUAACAGGCCCUUCGGGUGCUGACGAGUGGCGGACGGGUGAGUAAUGCUUAGGAAUCUGCCUGGUUGUGGGGAUAACCCGGGGAAACUCGGGCUAAUACCGCAUACGUCUCCCUGUCUUUGCGACAGGGAGGGAAAGCGGGGGACCGUUCGGCCUCGCGCUAUCAGAUGAGCCUAAGUCCGAUUAGCUAGUUGGAGGGUAACGGCCUACCAAGGCGACGAUCGGUAGCUGGUCUGAGAGGACGACCAGCCACACUGGGACUGA